rnacentral:rRNA from 1 species
GACAUCGGAGUGCCCGCAAGGGAGCCGAGAGACAGGUGCUGCAUGGCUGUCGUCAGCUCGUGCCGUGAGAUGUUGGGUUAAGUCCCGCAACGAGCGCAACCCUUUGUCUUUAAUUGCCAUCAUUUAGUUGGGCACUUUAAAGAGACUGCCGGUGUUAAGCCGGAGGAAGUGGGGAUGACGUCAAGUCCUCAUGGCCUUUAUGCCCAGGGCUACACACGUGCUACAAUGGGCGGUACAAAGAGAAGCAACCUCGCGAGGGUGAGCAAAUCUCAAAAAGCCGUUCUCAGUUCGGAUUGAAGUCUGCAACUCGACUUCAUGAAGUCGGAAUCGCUAGUAAUCGCGGAUCAGCAUGCCGCGGUGAAUACGUUCCCGGGCCUU